rnacentral:rRNA from 1 species
UACGUAGGGGGCCAGCGUUGUCCGGAAUCAUUGGGCGUAAAGCGCGCGUAGGCGGCCAGGUAAGUCCGGUGUGAAAGUCAAAGGCUCAACCUUUGAAUGCCGCUGGAAACUGUCUGGCUCGAGUCCGGGAGGGGCGAGUGGAAUUCCUGGUGUAGCGGUGAAAUGCGCAGAUAUCAGGAGGAACACCAAUGGCGAAGGCAGCUCGCUGGAACGGAACUGACGCUGAGGUGCGAAAGCGUGGGGAGCGAACAGG